rnacentral:rRNA from 1 species
GGAGGGCGCAAGCGUUGUUCGGAAUCAUUGGGCGUAAAGCGCGUGUAGGCGGCUUGGCAAGUCGGGUGUGAAGGCCCGGGGCUCAACCCCGGAAUUGCACUCGAUACUGCCUAGCUAGAGUCCCGGAGAGGGUGGCGGAAUUCCCGGUGUAGAGGUGAAAUUCGUAGAUAUCGGGAGGAACACCAGCGGCGAAGGCGGCCACCUGGACGGUGACUGACGCUGAGACGCGAAAGCGUGGGGAGCAAACAGGAUUAGAUACCCUGGUAGUCCACGCCGUAAACGUUGGGUGCUAGGCGCUGCGGGUAUUGACCCCCUGCAGUGCCGACGUUAACGCAUUAAGCACCCCGCCUGGGGGAGUACGGUCGCAAGAUUA